rnacentral:rRNA from 1 species
AACGAACGCUGGCGGCAUGCCUAACACACGCAAGUCGAACGAGACCUUCGGGUCUAGUGGCGCACAGGUGCGUAACGCGUUGGAACCUGCACUUAGGUUCGGAAUAACUCCCCGAAAUGGGUGCUCAUACCGGAUAAUGUCUUCGGACCAAAGGUUUAUCGCCCUUGGAUGGGCCCGCGUUGGAUUAGCUACUUGGUAGCGUAAAAGCCUACCAAGGUGACGAUCCCUAGCUGGUCUGAGAGGAUGAUCAGCAACACUGGGACUGAGACACGGCCCAGACUCCUACGGGAGGCAGCAGUGGGGAAUAUUGGACAAUGGGCGAAAGCCUGAUCAAGCCAUGCCGCGUGAGUGAUGAAGGCCUUAGGGUUGUAAAGCUCUUUUACCCGGGAGGAUAAUGACAGUACCGGGAGAAUAAGCUCCGGCUAACUCCGUG